GCCACACUGAAUGGCUGCCAAAUUUCUCACACAGCGAUUGCCACAGCUUAUAUUGAAAAUAUGAUACAAACUAUGCAUGUCAGUAAGAAUAUCUAGCCUCUUUGUUCCUGUGCUUUCUAUUGAAUCCAAUAAACACUUAUCUACUCUCCAAGGGACUCAACUUCAAGAAUGACAAAGCCUCCUCCAGGAAACACGACACCGGCCCCCGACAACACCAAAAUACUCUAUCUUCUAAAGACUAAUUGGUAUUUUUGUUUAUCAUUGGAUCGUUUAUGUUUUCUGAGAAAUGAGCUGGCAGAUGGAAGUGUGGAAAUGCUGGCUUCUGAGGACUUGGCUGCAGUGCCAUCUGCUGGUGUGAAAACAAACAGACUGCACAGGGGUAAAGCAACAACAACAACAACUGGUAAUCAGCAUCAUCAACAACAACAAACAUCUGAAGGUUUGGCUUGGGGAAGGCAAGUUAUCCAAAUAUUUCAAUGUGCUGUAUAUCGUGUUAGUCUUCAUUUUCUUCAGUUGUCUGGCUGUAUUGUGACCUACGGCACUUGCUAAGAUGACACUGUGUCGAGAAAGGUAUGGUAGUGACU
rnacentral:lncRNA from 13 species